rnacentral:lncRNA from 1 species
GGCCGAUCCUCACUUCUUGGUCAGCUGCUCUAGAAGAGGGAGCACUGUGGUGAGCUCCCACCAAGGAGCACCCAUAGGCAAUCCUGCCUUUCUUCUGCCUGAAUGGUAAAUGCCAGUCUGUUGACUCUGCAGGGCCCGCCUUCUGCAGUUAUUUUGGCUUCUGAUGAACUGAUUUGACCACCCAAGGGAGCUAAGGAAAGAGAUACCAGGGAUAAUGCUUGUGGACCCACCAAAGUACAAAAGAAGCUGUAUCACUGAGAUGUUGAAAUGCAGGCUUCAGAGGAGCCUUCAAGGACAUGAAGGUAGAGGAAGCAGUGAAGAUUGGCAGGAUCCUCCCAGAAGUGAAAGCCUCACCUUCGGUGUAGAAGGAUAAGGCCACAGCCUGGUGGGCCAGGUGGACCGAGCAAGAAGAGGUCCAGAGCUCAGCUGCUAUGGACAUCCUCACGGUUGCACCCAGGGCCACCCCAGCCCCUGGCAUAUGGGGCUGACAAAGGAGAGACAAAGUCACGCCAGCAUACUGAGCACUUCAACAAAGGAGAGAUUGCCUCAUUCCUAGUCCCUAGGCUCCAGCCCCUCCACUCCCACACUCCCUCCCUGCUUCUCUACAUCUCACUAUGGAUAACAUUCUCCACGGCAAACACCAAUCAUAUAUCCCACCAAAAUGUUCUAGAAACUCCUGAGUUGUGCAAUAUCUAAAUCACUGGCUCCAAGCUCUGUCUCCCACCCAUUAAAACACGAGAAUUAUCCUGCCUUGG